rnacentral:miRNA from 1 species
GAGUGACCUGUUGGCAGGUCUCUCAGAUGCUGGCGCAGGCCCUAGAGCUGAGGGCGAGGCUGACACGCCACCU